UACGUAGGGUGCAAGCGUUAAUCGGAAUUACUGGGCGUAAAGCGUGCGCAGGCGGUUUUUUAAGCUUGAUGUGAAAUCCCCGGGCUUAACCUGGGAACUGCAUUGAGGACUGGAAGGCUAGAGUACGGCAGAGGGGGGUGGAAUUCCACGUGUAGCAGUGAAAUGCGUAGAGAUCCGGAAGAACACCGGUGGCGAAGGCGGCCUGCUGGGCAGUGGCUGACACUGAGGCGCGACAGCGUGGGGAGCAAACAGG
rnacentral:rRNA from 1 species